rnacentral:rRNA from 1 species
CCUACGGGAGGCAGCAGUGGGGAAUAUUGCACAAUGGGGGAAACCCUGAUGCAGCGACGCCGCGUGAGUGAAGAAGUAUUUCGGUAUGUAAAGCUCUAUCAGCAGGGAAGAAAAUGACGGUACCUGAUUAAGAUGACCCGGCUAACUACGUGCCAGCAGCCGCGGUAAUACGUAGGGGGCAAGCGUUAUCCGGAUUUACUGGGUGUAAAGGGGGCGUAGACGGCAGCACAAGUCUGGAGUGAAAUGCCGGGGCUUAACCCCGGAACUGCUUUGGAAACUGUGCAGCGAGAGUGCAGGAGAGGUAAGUGGAAUUCCUAGUGUAGCGGUGAAAUGCGUAGAUAUUAGGAGGAACACCAGUGGCGAAGGCGGCUUACUGGACUGUAACUGACGUUGAGGCUCGAAAGCGUGGGGAGCAAACAGGAUUAGAUACCCCAGUCGUC